GGCUACCUACGGGGGGCAGCAGUGAGGAAUAUUGGUCAAUGGCCGUAAGGCUGAACCAGCCAAGUAGCGUGAGGGAAGACUGCCCUAUGGGUUGUAAACCUCUUUUAUGCGGGGUUAAAGUUGUCCACGUGUGGAUGUUUGCAGGUACCGCAUGAAUAAGGACCGGCUAAUUCCGUGCCAGCAGCCGCGGUAAUACGGAAGGUCCGGGCGUUAUCCGGCUUUAUUGGGUUUAAAG
rnacentral:rRNA from 1 species